rnacentral:rRNA from 3 species
CCUGGCGGUACUAGCGCGGUGGUCCCACCUGACCCCAUGCCGAACUCAGAAGUGAAACGCCGUAGCGCCGAUGGUAGUGUGGGGUCUCCCCAUGCGAGAGUAGGGAACUGCCAGGC